rnacentral:rRNA from 1 species
CCUACGGGAGGCAGCAGUGAGGAAUAUUGGUCAAUGGACGAGAGUCUGAACCAGCCAAGUAGCGUGAAGGAUGACUGCCCUAUGGGUUGUAAACUUCUUUUAUAUGGGAGUAAAAUGUUCCACGUGUGGGAUUUUGUAUGUACCAUAUGAAUAAGGAUCGGCUAACUCCGUGCCAGCAGCCGCGGUAAUACGGAGGAUCCGAGGGUUAUCCGGAUUUAUUUGGUUUAAAGGGAGCGUAUGUGGAUGGUUAAGUCAGUUGUGAAAGUUUGCGGCUCAACCGUAAAAUUGCAGUUGAAACUGGCAGGCUGGAGUACAGUAGAGGUGGGCGGAAUUCGUGGUGUAGCGGUGAAAUGCGUAGAUAUAACGAAGAACUCCGAAUGCGAAGGCAGCUCACUGGACUGCAACUGACACUGAGGCUCGAAAGUGUGGGUAUCAAACAGGAUUAGAUACCCGGGUAGUC